UACUCUGGUUUCUUUUCAGAUCGUAUAAAUCUUUCGCCUUUUACUAAAGAUUUCCGUGGAGAGGAACAAUAAAAAAAAUUACAUUUAUAGAUACAGCCUAAUUUUAUUUACAGAU
rfam:Myotis lucifugus cont2.521, whole genome shotgun sequence.